CUCCGCCACCUAAGCCACCACCGCUCCCUAGUCCACCUCCACCACCAAAUCCACCACCACCACCAAAACCACCACCUCCCCCUAACCCUCCACCGCCACCAAAUCCAGCACCACCACCAAUCCCACCUCCUCCAAACCUUCCAUGCCUAAACCCUUUCUUGAACAAAUGCGGUGGAAUUGGACGGAUCAAAUGCUUGUCAUCGUCAACAAGUUUCCUUGCAUCAGCAGCAAGUGCAACAAUAAGAAUAACGCCCAAGCAACACGAAACCACAAUGCCCUUCGAAAUAACAACUCUCAUUGUAGCAAAACCUGAUAUAAUAAGAGAAAAGAAGAGUAUUGUGAUUUAUUUACCCGAACAAUGCGUGUUGGUGCAACAACGAAUGAAAUAAAGUGUAU
rnacentral:lncRNA from 1 species